AAUUAAGCACCUCUUCAUAUAUCUUGUAGAGAAUUAUUUUUCCAUCAUAAGUUUUUGAAGCCAUGAAUCACAAAGCAUUCUCUUUAUUUUUCAUAGCCUUUUUUGUCUUAAUAUUCUGUUUAUCCUCAGCAAAUUCCAGGAGAUUGUCAGGAGAAGAUGGAAAUGUCCCUCAAAGAAGGAUACCCUAUGAUCCAUUACAUAAAGAACCAAUAUGCAAUAAAAAUAUAAUUGGCAAAUGUAUAGCCACCAAAAAACCACCACAUCUUGAAAAACCCUGCAGGAGUCUUACCAAUUGUCAUAAAAUGAAACCAUAGAAGCAAAGGGAGGUGUAUUAAAAAAAAAAAAAAAUAGUAGCUCUUUUUUUUAUAUGAAUUG